AGAACGUCAUAGGAGAGAGAGAGAGGGAGAGAGAGAGAGAGAGAUAGGUGGGCUAUAAUGAGAUAAUCCACUGGUUGAAGGGUCUCGAAACUCGAAUACAGAGAAUAUCUCACAGUCUCUAUAGAACUACAAUAAAAAAGAAAGGAAUAUAUAAUUUUUUAUUAUUAUUAUUUAUAAUUAAUUCAUCAUUAAUAAUAUAUUAGGGUUUCGAAGAGAAGAACCGCAAGCAACAAUCGAAUCGAGUUUGUUUGGAGUUAGAGAAAAGAAUACGCAAUCGUAGUAGUGGUUGUUGGGUAGUAGAUAAAAAAAAGAAAAAAGAAAAAAAAAGCUUGUGCGCUGAAUCUCGAUCAGGUUUCACGCAGUGUUUCUGUUGCACUGAUUGGCUGGUGCGCUACUGGCGCCGCUCAUCUUCCGCUUCCGCUUCCGCUUCCGCUUCCGCUUCCGCUUGUGCCAUGGAUAACAUGGACAUCGAUUCCUCUUUCGAUACCAACACUCUCAAGCCCCCUGAUCAAAUCCUACGGAGGCUUGCUCUGAUUGGAGUUCCUGAAGAGGUAUCUGAUCAACCUAGUUUAGUUGCGUUUGUCAAGGAUGACAAGUCUCGAAUGUUAGAGCUUGUAUCUGCUAUAUUGCCUACUGAUGAGGAAGUGUGGGGAGCACUCCAGGAUGCUAAGUCAGGUUCUAGAAGAUCUUCCAUUAGCAUGAAAAGACGAUUUCGAGAGAGCAUGUUGUGGUUACAAUGGUUGAUGUUUGAGGGUGAACCAGCUAGUGCCCUAAAGAACCUCUCCAGAAUGAGUUCUGGGCAACGUGGUGUUUGUGGUGCUGUUUGGGGAAAUAAUGAUGUAGCGUAUAGGUGUCGGACUUGUGAACAUGAUCCAACAUGUGCAAUCUGUGUUCCUUGUUUUCAGAAUGGGGACCACACUGGCCAUGAUUAUUCUAUUAUUUAUACGGGUGGUGGUUGUUGUGAUUGUGGGGAUGUUACGGCAUGGAAACGUGAGGGCUUCUGCUCAAAGCAUAAGGGUGCAGAACAAAUACAACCCCUUCCAGAGGAGGUUGCAAACUCCGUGAGACCCGUCCUUAAUGCUCUUUUUAUUUGUUGGAAAAAGAAGUUAUUAGUUGCAGAAACUAUUCCUCAAGAAAAUCCUAGAGCAGGUGAUCAUAUUUCAGAGCAAAUGAGGGUGGCAAAUGAACUAACAUUUGUGGUGGUGGAGAUGCUUUUAGAGUUCUGCAAGUACAGUGAGAGUUUGCUCAGUUUUGUUUCCAGGAUGGUCUGUUCGUCACUUGGUUUAUUGCAGAUUCUGGUGAGAGCAGAGAGGUUUUUGAAAGAUGACAUAGUGAAGAAGCUCUAUGACUUGCUUUUGAGACUGCUUGGAGAUCCUUUCUUCAAGUACGAGUUUGCUAAAGUAUUUUUAAGCUACUAUCCAACUGUUGUAAAUGAAGCCAUAAAAAUGGGCAAUGAUAAUGGCUCCAUGAAUUAUUCACUACAAUCUACAUUCUCUGUGCAAAUCUUUACUGUACCAACUCUGACACCGCGCCUUGUAAAGGAAAUGAACCUACUUGUUAUGCUGUUGGGAUGUGUGGGAGACAUUUUUGCUGCAUGUGCUGGUGAAGAUGGUCGUUUGCAGAUUGCUAAGUGGGCAAAUUUGUACGACACUACCAUUCGUGUGGUAGAAGAUAUUCGUUUUGUUUUGAGCCAUGCUGUAGUGUCCAAAUAUGUAACCCAUGACCAGAAAGAUAUAUCAAGAACUUGGAUGAGACUUUUGGCUUUUGUGCAAGGGAUGAACCCUCAAAAGAGAGAAACAGGCCUCCAUAUAGAAGAAGAUAAUGAGAAUAUGCUUUUGCCUUUCGCUUUAUGUCAUGCUAUUGCUAAUAUCCAUUCUAUCUUUGUGGAUGGGGCAUUUUCAGUCUCUAGUAGCAAAGAGAUAGAUGAAAUUUUUUCUAGCACAUGCAAUCAAGAUAUGGGUGAUGGAGAUAGCCUAAGACAUGCAAAAGUAGGACACUUAUCCCAGGAAAGCUCUGCAUGUAGUGCCUUAGCACGUACAUCAAAGCUCGCUGAAGUUAAAUCUGAUACUGAUUUUUGUCUCUUAAUUCCACCACCUGUCAAGUGGUUAAUAAAUGAGUGUCUGAAGGCUAUUGAGAAUUGGCUGGGAGUUGAUAACACAUCUGGAGCUGCUCUUAACCUAUUUUCUCCAAAUACUAGCAGUAACCCUGGUAGUAAUUUUUCAGCAUUUAAGGAAACAUUAUCUAAGAUUAAAAAAGGCAAAUAUAUUUUUCGCAGACUUGCCAGUUCAAGUGAAGAUCAUGGUAGGCAAUAUUCUUCUCAUGUCCACUGUGGUGAUAUGGAUUUUGACUCGGAGAAUGGUAAAAGGGAUACUGUAGCCUGUAACUCUGCCAGGUCUAAUGACAUUCUGAUGGAAGUAGAUACGAUAGAUAUAGAUGUACUACGUGUUCUGAGUUCGUCUGAUUGGCCAAACAUAAUAUAUGAUGUUAGUUCACAGGAGAUCUCUGUUCAUAUUCCAUUGCAUCGGUUGCUUUCCUUGCUUUUGCAGAAAGCAUUGAGAAGAUGUUUUGGUGAAUCUGCAGUGACAAAUGUGACUAUUGGUAGUUCUGCUAAUUUGUUAUCGACAAGCUGCAUUGACUUCUUUGCACAUGUUCUUGGGGGCUGCCACCCAUUUGGGUUUUCUGCCUUUGUAAUGGAGCAUCCUUUACGGGUUAGGGUCUUUUGUGCUGAGGUUCAUGCUGGAAUGUGGAGAAAGAAUGGUGAUGCUGCCCUAUUAUCUUGGGAAUGGUAUCGGUCAGUUCGGUGGUCUGAGCAGGGUUUAGAGCUUGAUCUAUUUCUGCUACAGUGCUGUGCUGCGUUGGCCCCACCUGACUUAUUUGUCAAUAGAAUUCUAGAACGCUUUGGGCUGUCAAAGUACCUUUCUCUGAAUCUUGAACGGUCUAACGAAACACUUGUUUUCAGGUAUGAACCAGUUCUGGUGCAGGAAAUGCUCACUCUUGUUAUACAGAUAGUUAAAGAACGGAGAUUUUCUGGGCUAACUACAGCUGAAAGUUUGAAAAGGGAGUUAAUUUGUAAGUUGGCCAUUGGAGAUGCCACUCGUAGUCAAUUGGUGAAAUCUCUCCCCCAUGACCUCUCUAAGUUUAACCAGCUUCAGGAAAUUUUGGAUACCAUUGCUACAUAUUCCAGUCCAUCUGGGUUUAAUCAGGGUAUGUACUCACUGCGAUGGACAUAUUGGAAAGAACUGGAUUUAUACCACCCUCGUUGGAACUCACGGGAUUUGCAAGGUGCGGAAGAAAGAUACUUUCGCUUCUAUAGUGUCUCUGCAUUUACCAGUCAGUUGCCCAGGUGGACUAAGAUUUAUCCUCCACUCAAAGAGGUAGCUAAAGUAGCCACUUGUAAGGUGGUCCUUGAAAUUAUCCGUGCAGUGCUAUUUUAUGCUGUUUUCACUGAUAAAUGUGCUGAAUCACGUGCUCCUGAUGGUGUUCUUCUUACUGCAUUGCAUUUACUAUCGUUAGCAUUAGAUAUCUGUUAUCAGCAGAGAGAAUCUAGUGAUCAGUCAUGUUCUACUGGAGGUUUGGUUCCCAUCCUAGCUUAUGCUGGCGAAGAAAUCUGGAAGGGAUUAGAGAAUGAUGCUGCUAAACAAAGCUUGUUGUCACUUCUUGUUAUCUUGAUGAGGAUGCAUAAGAAAGAAAACGCAGACAACUUUUCAGACUCAGGCAGUUGCAACCUUUCUUCUCUGAUUGAAAGUAUAUUGAAGAAGUUUGCUGAUAUUGAUUCUGGAUGUUUGGCCAAAUUGCAACAACUUGCACCUGAAGUGGUCAGUUAUCAAACACAUUCCAAUUUUAGUAGUGAUGCCAAUAUCCCAGGGUCAGCUUCCGAUGGUGAGAAACGCAAGGCAAAAGCACGAGAGAGACAGGCAGCUAUUUUGGAAAAAAUGAGAGCUGAGCAAUCUAAGUUUUUGGCAAGCAUUGAUUCUGCUGUGGAUGAAAGUUCAAAAUCUGGACAAGAAUUAAGUAGCUCUGAUGUUAGAGAUGAUUCAGAUGAGUCUGCACAAGUUGUUUGCUCUCUUUGUCAUGAUCCCAACUCCAAAAAUCCCAUAUCAUUCUUGAUUCUUCUUCAGAAAUCUAGGCUUGUGAGUUUCAUUGACAGAGGUCCCCCAUCAUGGGAACAAUUUCACCAGUCAGAGAAGGAGCAUGCUUCUAUUGCUACAGACAAGGUGACUAAUGACUCUGGAAUAAGCACAUCCUCAGAUGGUUCAGGUUUGAUUUCAUCUUCCCCAUCAGCACAGUUGGUUCAGAAUGCAGAUGAUGGAUUUUCUUAUUAUGGGAAACCUGAGGAAGUCGAAUCUUUUGAGACAUUGGAACAAGAUAUGUACAUCUCCAUACGUAAAGAAGUGCAUGAUAAUAUUCUGGAUUCAAAUUUUAUGGAGGACAAUAAACCUUCUACUUCUGAAGGGGGCUUAGAAAGAAGCAGAGUUGCUGAAUCUGUCUUGCUUAGAAAUUACAUAGCUGCUCUUUUGAAAGAGACAAAAGAAAGUCCUUCAGCGUCUGAAGAUGCUCAGAAGGAUAAGUCUUCUGUAGAAUCUACUUCAAAGUGUCCAGCAUAUGAUGGAUUUGGACCUACAGAUUGUGAUGGAGUUCAUCUUUCUUCCUGUGGGCAUGCUGUGCAUCAGGGAUGUCUUGAUCGCUAUUUAUCUUCAGUGAAGGAGAGAUAUGUCAGAAGAAUUGUUUUUGAAGGAGGGCAUAUCGUGGAUCCAGAACAGGGGGAGUUCCUCUGCCCUGUAUGCCGCCGACUUGUAAAUUCUGUCUUGCCUGCUUUACCUGCCGAUUUUAAAGAGGUUCAGAAGCAGCCUGUAAGUGCAACUUUGAGUUCCUCACUUGCUGCUGGACCUUCAACCUCAUCAUCUGAAGAAAUCGGUUCUCUUCGCAUUCAGCAAGCCUUGGCUCUCUUGCAAUCUGCAGCCAAUAUGGUUGGGAAGGGUGAAAUUCUUAAAGUUUUCACCCUGCGGAGAAAUGGAAGAGUGCUGCCAAAUCUUGAGCCUGUUUGUCGGGUGCUCUCAAAAAUCUUUUAUCCAAACAAACAGGAUAAGUUGCCAGAGUCUGCGAGGAUAAGCCACUCAAUGCUUAUGUGGGAUUCACUUAAAUACUCCCUGAUAUCAACGGAGAUUGCUGCACGUUGUGGAAGGAAUCAAAUGACUCCAAAUUAUGGUAUAAGUGCCAUAUAUGGGGAACUAAAAUCUUCUACAGGAUUUAUGUUGUCCUUGUUGCUAAAAAUUGUCCAAAAUACCCGAAGUAAGAAUGCUAUUCACGUGCUUCAAAGAUUUAUAGGCACUCAGCUUUUUGCGGAGUCUAUUUGCUCCGGCAUAUCCGUAGGUCAUGGAAGUGGCACGCUUGGACAAGGUAAUAUGAUGCGUAUCUUGAAUCAAGUUGCAAUGGAAGAAUCAAAUUCUGAUAUUCAAUUUUGGAAUCGAGCUUCUGGUCCUGUCCUCUCUCGUGACCCUUUCUCAUCAUUGAUGUGGGUUCUGUUUUGUCUUCCAUACCCAUUUUUAUCAUGCGAAGAAUCCUUGCUAUCCCUUGUGCAUGUCUUCUAUGUUGUCUCUAUAGCGCAGGCUAUAAUUACAUAUUGUGGAAUAAAUCAAGGCAAGUCGAAUGAACGAGGAAUUAAUGAUUCCUUGAUUUCUGACAUUUCCAAAGUUUUAGGGGACUUUGGAUAUGUCCAACAAUAUUUUGUUUCAAACUAUGUUGGCCCUUCUAGUAAUAUGAAGGAUACAAUUCGUAGCUUGAGUUUCCCUUAUUUGCGGAGAUGUGCAUUGCUGUGGAAGCUACUUAAUUCUUCUGCCCGAGCACCAUUCUGUGAGAGGGACAAUAUGUUUGAUAGAUCAUCUCUUGCCAUCAAUGAUAUGAUGGAUAUCACUGAUGGUUCUUCUCUUGUUGAGCUCAAUGAAGUUCAACGGUUAGAAACCAUGUUUACGAUUCCCUCACUGGAUGUUGUUCUGAAGAGUGAAGGUGUGCGGUCUCUUGUUUUGAAAUGGUCCCAUCACUUCCGCAAGGAGUUUGAAGUUCGUAAUUUUGGACGUGUCAUGCACAUAACACCUGCAGUUCCCUUUAAGUUAAUGCAUCUUCCCCAUGUUUACCAGGAAAUCUUGCAGAGGUUCAUAAAACAGCGUUGCCCUGACUGCAAAGCUGUCCUUGAUGAGCCUGCAUUAUGCCUCCUGUGUGGUAGAUUAUGCUCUCCAAGUUGGAAGCCAUGCUGCAGCCAAAGUGGAUGCCAAACUCAUGCAAUGGCCUGUGGUGCUGGCACUGGAGUGUUCCUUUUGAUCAGAAGAACAACAAUCCUGCUACAGAGAUCUGCACGUCAAGCUCCUUGGCCAUCACCCUACUUGGAUGAUUUUGGUGAAGAGGAUAUUCAAAUGCAUAGAGGAAAGCCAUUAUAUUUGAACGAGGAACGCUAUGCUGCUCUAACUUAUAUGGUUGCUUCCCAUGGCCUUGAUCGGAGUUCAAAGGUUCUUCGCCAAACUACUAUCGGUUCUUUCUUCAUGGUUUAGUUUGGAUUACAUGUAAAUCGUGGGGAGGUUAGUGUUUGCACCGUUUUAUGGUUAUGGUUAAGUACAGCUCAUUUAGAUCCAAUUAUCACCCAGAUGAAUCCUUGAUUUCACCUCAAAAAUCAGAUCAACUUAUAAGGAAAAGAAUGUGGUGAUCAAAGACGAGAGCGUGAGAUUUGGAGGCAAUGACUAGGCCAGAGUGAACGCGGAGGGUUGUGCUUGAACCAUAAGGAUUGAGGACGCAUUUGUUAUUUGAAACCGUUUGGUGGUUCUCUGUGGCUUCUGAGGGGAAGACUUAGAAACUUAGACGAGGGCGUUAAAGGAGUGGAGAUGAAAGAAGGCAGGUGUUUAGGGAGAGGGAAAGUGAGCAAGUGCUGAUGGAUCUCAUUCUCAAUCCAUUGACCACACUUGGAUCUGAUAAAAUUCUACAGCUUUUUCUUUUGGUGUAAAUCAUAUUUCAGAUUAUUACCUUGAAACACUUUCUCCUUAUCAUUCCUUGUAGGAGAAAAUGAAAAGGGAUUCCAAAGAUCCCUUGGUGGGGCUUGGGCUGGCCCAGUAACUCGCCAGCCCAACCUGAUACUAUUGAGUCCCGUGGAUAGCCCAGUGGAGCAGGCCAUAGGGUUGGAUUUUUUGCCCAUGUGCACCCAUUGGGCUAGCAUGUUUAGCCUACCCUAUUAACCUGUAAUUUUUAACAAAAUAAUUUGUGGUUUGGGUGGUUGAACUUGGGA